AUUGAACGCUGGCGGCAGGCUUAACACAUGCAAGUCGAGCGGGGUGAUGGUGCUUGCACUAUCACUUAGCGGCGGACGGGUGAGUAAUGCUUAGGAAUCUGCCUAUUAGUGGGGGACAACAUCUCGAAAGGGAUGCUAAUACCGCAUACGUCCUACGGGAGAAAGCAGGGGAUCACUUGUGACCUUGCGCUAAUAGAUGAGCCUAAGUCGGAUUAGCUAGUCGGUGGGGUAAAGGCCUACCAAGGCGACGAUCUGUAGCGGGUCUGAGAGGAUGAUCCGCCACACUGGGACUGAGACACGGCCCAGACUCCUACGGGAGGCAGCAGUGGGGAAUAUUGGACAAUGGGGGGAACCCUGAUCCAGCCAUGCCGCGUGUGUGAAGAAGGCCUUAUGGUUGUAAAGCACUUUAAGCGAGGAGGAGGCUCUUUUGGUUAAUACCCAGAAUGAGUGGACGUUACUCGCAGAAUAAGCACCGGCUAACUCUGUGCCAGCAGCCGCAGUAAUAC
rnacentral:rRNA from 1 species